rnacentral:rRNA from 1 species
UGGCUGGGGGUGAAAGGCCAAUCAAACCGGGAGAUAGCUGGUUCUCCCCGAAAGCUAUUUAGGUAGCGCCUCGUGAACUCAUCUUCGGGGGUAGAGCACUGUUUCGGCUAGGGGGUCAUCCCGACUUACCAACCCGAUGCAAACUACGAAUACCGAAGAAUGUUAUCACGGGAGACACACGGCGGGUGCUAACGUCCGUCGUGAAGAGGGAAACAACCCAGACCGCCAGCUAAGGUCCCAAAGUCAUGGUUAAGUGGGAAACGAUGUGGGAAGGCACAGACAGCCAGGAUGUUGGCUUAGAAGCAGCCAUCAUUUAAAGAAAGCGUAAUAGCUCACUGGUCGAGUCGGCCUGCGCGGAAGAUGUAACGGGGCUAAACCAUGCACCGAAGCUGCGGCAGCGACACUAUGUGUUGUUGGGUAGGGGAGCGUUCUGUAAGCCUGCGAAGGUGUGCUGUGAGGCAUGCUGGAGGUAUCAGAAGUGCGAAUGCUGACAUAAGUAACGAUAAAGCGGGUGAAAAGCCCGCUCGCCGGAAGACCAAGGGUUCCUGUCCAACGUUAAUCGGGGCAGGGUGAGUCGACCCCUAAGGCGAGGCCGAAAGGCGUAGUCGAUGGGAAACAGGUUAAUAUUCCUGUACUUGGUGUUACUGCGAAGGGGGGACGGAGAAGGCUAUGUUAGCCGGGCGACGGUUGUCCCGGUUUAAGCAUGUAGGCUGAUUGUCCAGGCAAAUCCGGAUAAUCAAGGCUGAGGUGUGAUGACGAGGCACUACGGUGCUGAAGUAACAAAUGCCCUGCUUCCAGGAAAAGCCUCUAAGCAUCAGGUAACAU